UACGAAGGGGGCUAGCGUUGUUCGGAAUUACUGGGCGUAAAGCGCACGUAGGCGGAAUGUUAAGUCAGGGGUGAAAUCCCGGGGCUCAACCCCGGAACUGCCUUUGAUACUGGCAUUCUCGAGUCCGGAAGAGGUGAGUGGAAUUCCGAGUGUAGAGGUGAAAUUCGUAGAUAUUCGGAGGAACACCAGUGGCGAAGGCGGCUAACUGGUCCAGCACUGACGCUGAGGUGCGAAAGCGUGGGGAGCAAACAGG
rnacentral:rRNA from 1 species